AUUGAACGCUGGCGGCAUGCCUUACACAUCCAAGUCGAACGGUAACAGGUCUUCGGAUGCUGACGAGUGGCGAACGGGUGAGUAAUACAUCGGAACGUGCCUAGUAGUGGGGGAUAACUACUCGAAAGAGUGGCUAAUACCGCAUGAGAUCUACGGAUGAAAGCAGGGGAUCGCAAGACCUUGUGCUACUAGAGCGGCCGAUGGCAGAUUAGGUAGUUGGUGGGAUAAAAGCUUACCAAGCCGACGAUCUGUAGCUGGUCUGAGAGGACGAUCAGCCACACUGGGACUGAGACACGGCCCAGACUCCUACGGGAGGCAGCAGUGGGGAAUUUUGGACAAUGGGCGCAAGCCUGAUCCAGCAAUGCCGCGUGCAGGAUGAAGGCCUUCGGGUUGUAAGCUGCUUUUGUACGGAACGAAAAGCCCUGGGUUAAUACCCUGGGGUCAUGACGGUACCGUAAGAAUAAGCACCGGCUAACUACGUGCCAGCCGCCGCCGUAAGAC
rnacentral:rRNA from 1 species